CAGGCCUAACACAUGCAAGUCGAGCGCAGCGCGGGGGCAACCCUGGCGGCGAGCGGCGGACGGGUGAGGAAUGCGUCGGAAUCUGCCUUGUUGUGGGGGAUAACGUAGGGAAACUUACGCUAAUACCGCAUAAGACCGAAAGGUGAAAGUGGGGGACCGCAAGGCCUCACGCGACAAGAUGAGCCGACGCCGGAUUAGCUAGUUGGUGGGGUAAAGGCCCACCAAGGCGACGAUCCGUAGCUGGUCUGAGAGGAUGAUCAGCCACACUGGGACUGAGACACGGCCCAGACUCCUACGGGAGGCAGCAGUGGGGAAUAUUGGACAAUGGGCGCAAGCCUGAUCCAGCCAUGCCGCGUGGGUGAAGAAGGCCUUCGGGUUGUAAAGCCCUUUUGUUGGGAAAGAAAUCCUGUCGGUUAAUACCUGGCGGGGAUGACGGUACCCAAAGAAUAAGCACCGGCUAACUUCGUGCCAGCAGCCGCGGUAAUACGAAGGGUGCAAGCGUUACUCGGAAUUACUGGGCGUAAAGCGUGCGUAGGCGGUUCGUUAAGUCUGUCGUGAAAGCCCUGGGCUCAACCUGGGAAUUGCGAUGGAUACUGGCGAGCUAGAGUACCGUAGAGGAUGGUGGAAUUCCGGGUGUAGCGGUGAAAUGCGU
rnacentral:rRNA from 1 species